UACGUAGGGGGCGAGCGUUUGUCCGGAUUUAUUGGGCGUAAAGAGCGUGUAGGCGGCCAGGUAGGUCUGCUGUGAAAACUCGAGGCUCAACCUCGAGACGUCGGCGGAAACCAUCUGGCUAGAGUCCGGAAGAGGAGAGUGGAAUUCCUGGUGUAGCGGGUGAAAUGCGCAGAUAUCAGGAAGAACACCCGUGGCGAAGGCGACUCUCUGGGACGGUAC
rnacentral:rRNA from 1 species